rnacentral:rRNA from 1 species
UGGGGAAUAUUGGACAAUGGGGGGAACCCUGAUCCAGCCAUGCCGCGUGUGUGAAGAAGGCCUUAUGGUUGUAAAGCACUUUAAGCGAGGAGGAGGGUACUGGUAUUAAUACUACCAGCUACUGGACGUUACUCGCAGAAUAAGCACCGGCUAACUCUGUGCCAGCAGCCGCGGUAAUACAGAGGGUGCGAGCGUUAAUCGGAUUUACUGGGCGUAAAGCGUGCGUAGGCGGCUAAUUGAGUCGGAUGUGAAAUCCCCGAGCUUAACUUGGGAAUUGCAUUCGAUACUGGUUAGCUAGAGUGUGGGAGAGGAUGGUAGAAUUUCCUGUGUAGCGGUGAAAUGCGUAGAUAUAGGAAGGAACACCAGUGGCGAAGGCGACCACCUGGGCUCAUACUGACACUGAGGUGCGAAAGCGUGGGGAGCAAACAGG